GGAGGCUCGUUUGAAUGCGCAUAUGUUUCGGAGGGAACCCUCCGAUUAUUUCGAUAAGGCUAGGUCGCCGGUAGCAGAACACGCUAAGAUAUUGACCGUCGCGGUAUUGACCGUUGGCCACUUCUUGUAGUCAACGGUAGAUUUAUAUGCCUACCUUGUCGUAUAAGAUUAUGAGUUUUUAUUCGACGGUCAGCUGAUUUCCCUUAAAAAAUCUGUAAACUGAAUCUCAACUUCGAGAAUUCAAAAAUACCUAUCAUUGGACUUAAAAGAUACUUUCGAAGAGAUUUUCUCAAUUCGACAACAGAUAGUAAGAGGUUUAGUGUUUUCAGGGUACAAGAGGUCGUUCACCUCAGAGUAUACACAUAGAUAUAAGACUAGAACCAUAUUGGACAGCGAAGAAAGUAAAAAUAGAAAACUUCCCCUGUGGCUGGGGGUUUAGAAUACAGCCACGGUAUCCCCUGCCUGUCGUAAGAGGCGACUAAAAGGGGGUGCAAGCAAAAAAAAAUAGGAAAGAAGAAAGAGAAUGGCAAAAAUAGAGAGAAAAUGUAAAUGACAAAAAUGUCAAAAGUAAGGCAAAAAGAGAGAUGUAACGUAGUUUGAAAAAAGGCGCGCAUGCGCGCGUUGACGAUAAUUUUUGGUGCGUAGAAAGGGGCCGCUUGUCCCUAGAUCACGCCGUUCUUUUUAAAAGGGAAGCUAUCGAUCAAUCAAUCAGUCAAUAGAAAGCUACUUUUCUACAUAGAUUAUUUUAUAAGCAUUUUGUAAUAUGUGAUUAACAAGUAGUGUAAAUUGGGAUAAGAUCACGCAGUGGAUAAGAGUACGCACUGAAGCUAAAAGUGAAAUAGUCUGCAUAUUGACGCUAAGUUCAGUCAUAUAUUAACCGGCGUACAGUGUAGGUGUUUGUGUCAAAAAAGAAUUAAAAAGUGCUUAAAAAUGGUAGAAUCAGGACCACUGAAUAGUGACCACUUCGAUGAACGAUGUUAACAUUGCCAACGCUGAAGCUACGAUGAUAAAUUAAAAGAUUCUGGCUCUUCGAAUCCUGCCUGGACCAUCCUCCUAUCAUCCUCCCCUUCUCGUAAUAGCAAUACAGCUGAAACCGGUAUGGUGGAGCGUUCAAGUCCGAGCGAAGGGUGCUGCUCUGUUAGAGGGGUGAGUUUGUAGCUCCAGUCGUGGAAUAGGUACGUACAGAUUCCAACUUCUGCGGAUAGUUAAGCUUAAGGGUUGUACGGAGGAACUAGCCUUGGGGUGACUGGGACCACGGAUGAUCAGGGCUGAAGUAAACGGGCAUAGGGCGGGAGGGAGAGGCCGAAGGAAAGGGGCUGGAUUGGGUGCUAUAGGGUGGAAGAUUUCUCCAUCUCGGAUAGCAAAGCAACUUGGACCGCAAAUUCCUUUACGCGGUUCAGCUAGGAGUGCAUCCACGGCUACAGGGAACCGACUCGAUUUCGUUAAUAGGUCGCGUUUAACUUCCGGAUUUUAUUCCCUGACGACCGUCUAUCUUGUUUUCUAACAGAUUCUUCCUACAAUUUUUUAUAUAUUAGUCGAGAAAAUUAUAAGGCACCCCAUCCAGUCUCUAUGGACUCUUAUGCACUGUUCGGGUCAAUUUGAGCCGGACAAAGAUUUUGUUUAUUUUUUAGAUAAAUAUAUUUAUUUAUUAUAUAUCGUUAAGAAAUUUUCUAUUAGCUAUUUAUAAUCCAAGUGUAUAUUACCCAGCGCCGAAUCAAGGGGUAAGUAUACAAAAAUUGAUAGAAAGGAAAUAUCGAAAAAUAUCUGAUUACCAUUCGAGAUGCAGAAAAUGAUAAUUCUGUCCGAAUAAAUCAUAACUAAGAUAGCGUUUAGACUUCACUUAAAAUGCAAAGCGUGAAAGACAUAAAUUACCCGAUGAAUCAAGUGACUUCGCGAGCCACUUGUAAACUACCGCGGUCGUAAACCUACCAUUACUGCACUCUACAUUUAGUGCACCCUUACUCUCCACCUCUAUAAACAUUUACAUUUACAUUUAUAUUGCGCUAUCCGACUGAACAUGACGAAAUUUCGGUUCCCGUAACAAGCCACGUAAUUGUUCGUUUCUAUCGACGUUCCAUAAUCCAGUGUCCACUAAAAAUUCAGUUUAUCUCGACUCUAUUUUCAUUUCUAACAACAAGUUUUGCGAAUCUUAUUUUAUUGAUAUAAAUUUGCAAAUCUUUAUUCUAAAAAUUUUAUUUUUAAAUGUAUUAAGUUUAUUAUUAAAUAUAAUAUUUUCAAAAUUUAAUUUACGAUAAAUUUGCAAUUUUAUUCGAUACUUUCAUCAUGUCAGGGUAGAGGUGUAGAUGAUAGCGCUGUUUCCAAUCAAGGGUCCUUAGAAGAGACUAAUCAAAAUUAAUAGCCAGUUGCCACUCCUCCGUAUCUAGGCGAUACCACGUGGAGACGGCUCCGAGAUUGGAUAUGUUGGCAAUAAAUAGACGAUUGAACGUGUAGCCUUGGUGUUAGACGACGGAAGGGAUAUGAAAUUAAUACAACUCCAUCCUGCAGGCCUGUCAUGGAAGGCGUCUCUGCCUUCACAUUGGUAUUUCUGGCAUCCUUAGGUUUCUCGACCGUAAGGACCCUUCGAUGGGAAUAUCAAGGAAAUUAGAGACGCUAGUAGAUAGGCCUGAAUUAUCGACGGUCCGACGAAUCACCGUUCCUUGGUCAUCAAGAUUUACUCUUGAAAAUGAUUACACGUUCUGUCUAUGUUUGUCACGAUUUCAUCUCUCUAAUUUUAAUAGGAAACUCAUUUCUAUUAGAUACAUUUAAUACGUAUAAAGCUACAGAUAGAUGGAAAACUUUAUUUUGUAUGACAGAAAAGGAAGCUUUAAACUUUAACGAGAUUAAUAAAAUGCAUUUAAUACAUCCUGGUGUGAAGUAUCGGAAGUUUAUACGAGAUAACUUUGCAUUCGACUUCUGAAACGAGUUUAGCAUUAGCGUAUCCGAGUUUAGCUACUCUUGCUGAUUAGCUCGAGAGAUUCUAUAGUUUGGCAAUCGAAAGCAUUCCGUUAAAGUUGCUCGAAAUGGAAAGUAAUUGAAGAGUAUUGGAAAGUAAUAUUCCUUUUAUAGCAUUGUGAAUUUUAUAGAUUACGUUCUUUCGUAUCAAUUAUCAGUUUCUCCAUAUUCGUCCAUGUUCCGAUGGUUAAAACUGAUUUCAUCGAAAUAUGAAAUUUGUGUUGCGUCUUUCUUAUUAGCAACACAAGUGCCGAUUGAUCGUAGCAAUGGUUUGGAGUGGUUCGGUCAAUAGUUGGGAAUUUCGAGGGUGCUGUAACUCUGUUCAGGGCAGGGACAAGAAAGAUAACUUUGUAGAGAGGGUAAGACGUGGCUUG